AUUGAACGCUGGCGGCAUGCCUUACACAUGCAAGUCGAACGGUAACGGGCCUUCGGGUGCCGACGAGUGGCGAACGGGUGAGUAAUGUAUCGGAACGUACCCUUCAGUGGGGGAUAACGUAGCGAAAGUUACGCUAAUACCGCAUAUUCUGUGAGCAAGAAAGCAGGGGAUCGCAAGACCUUGCGCUGAUUGAGCGGCCGAUAUCAGAUUAGCUAGUUGGUGAGGUAAAGGCUCACCAAGGCGACGAUCUGUAGCGGGUCUGAGAGGAUGAUCCGCCACACUGGAACUGAGACACGGUCCAGACUCCUACGGGAGGCAGCAGUGGGGAAUUUUGGACAAUGGGGGCAACCCUGAUCCAGCCAUGCCGCGUGAGUGAAGAAGGCCUUCGGGUUGUAAAGCUCUUUCGGCCGGGAAGAAAUCGUAUCAGCUAAUACCUGGUGCGGAUGACGGUACCGGCAUAAGAAGCACCGGCUAAUUACGUGCCAGCAGCCGCCGCGGUAA
rnacentral:rRNA from 1 species